AGGGCAGUCCCCGCAUGCCCCUCUCCGGCGGCCCCUGGUUGGUAGAGCAGUCACAUGACUGCAUCCUGGCUGCCAGGGAGGCUGCGAGCAGGUGCAGCCUCCUGCCCUGAGGAGGCUGUUCUAGAGCCACAGAUGUGACAGACAGCCGAGCUGCCUGGCUGGGACUCUGGGACCCGUCACACCUCAGGGAGCUCACCACCCACCCCACCGCAGCUCAGCACCGGGCCCUCCACCCACACGGGAUGUGCUCGCGGCCUGAGCCUCCAGAGCCCCUGCGCCGUGUGGCAGUGGUCGGGGGCACCCACGGCAAUGAGAUGUCUGGCGUCUGCCUGGCGCGGUACUGGCUGCGGGCCCCGGGGGAGCUGCAGAGACCCAGCUUCUCCGCAGUGCCCGUGCUGGCCAACCCAGCGGCCACAGCCGCCUGCCGCCGCUACGUGGACUGUGACCUCAACCGCGCCUUCACCAGCGCCUUCCUCACGGCCAGGGCCCACCCGGAUGACCCAUAUGAGGUGACAAGGGCCCGAGAGCUGAACCAACUGCUGGGACCCAAGGCCUCGGGCCAGGCCUUUGACUUCGUCCUGGACCUGCACAACACCACGGCCAGCAUGGGCACCUGCCUCGUCGCCGAAUCCUCCCACGACGUCUUUGCGAUGCACCUGUGCCACCACCUACAGCUGCAGAGCCCAGAGCUGCCCUGCCGGGUCUUCCUGUACCAGUUGCCUGGAGAAGAGAGCUACAGCGUCCACUCCGUGGCCAAGAGUGGACUGGGCCUGGAGCUGGGCCCCCAGCCUCAGGGGGUGCUGCGGGCUGACCUUCUCGCCAGGAUGAGGGCCUUGGUGGCCGCAGCCCUGGACUUCAUCCAGCUCUUCAACCAGGGCACCGCAUUUCCUGCCUUUGAGAUGGAAGCGUAUAGAAAAGUGAGCAGCGUGGACUUCCCACGCACGGAGACCGGGGACCUGGCAGGCACCGUGCAUCCUCAGCUGCAGGACCGAGACUUCGAGCCCCUGCGGCCUGGAGCACCCAUCUUCCAGAUGUUCGGCGGCAAGGACGUGCUCUAUGAAGGGGAGUCCACUGUGUACCCCGUGUUCAUCAAUGAGGCCGCCUACUACGAGAAGGGCAUUGCCUUCUUCCAGACGGAGAAGCUCACGUUCUCUGUGCCUGCCCUGCCCGGGCUGGCCCCCGCCCCCUCCCCAGCUCCCUAACCCAGGCCACACCUGCCCGGCCUCAGCCUCCCACCUGAGGCAUGAUCCCAAGCUCAGAGGUCCCCUUGCCACCCUCCCCCACCUCCCUGCCUCAGUUUCCCAUUCUAUAAAGUGGAAGAUGUCCAGGGGUCCAUGGUUUGUGUCCUCCAUCUGUGUGGUGCCUGUCUGUGGCCUCAGGAUCUGGGGCAAGUCUGGCCCCGUGUGGCCUUGGACAUGCUGUGUGUCCUGGGGCCAGUGGUAGCUGUCUCUGUGCCCAUGCUUGUCCAGGGAAGAUCCUAUACUGUGAGGGAAACUGAGAAAGACUGUCCUCGAACCAGCAGAAGGGCUUCCGGAGGCCAUGACCAGAGGAGGGUCCCCAACUUCCUACACUCCUGGGGCCAGAGGGUCGGCUAGGAGAGCAGAAGUGUGUGGCCACGUGUGUGGGUGCCCAUGUGUAUGCCCUCCCCAGGUGCUGUGUGUGCACGUGUUUCCGAGAACCAGUGCCUUGGCUGUUCUGGGAGGAUCUGCAUGUGAUGGGCACACAGCCCCACGCGCGUUUCCAGGGCAGGACCAGCCUGGCAGCGGCCUCAGACGGAGCAGCGUGAGGUGGCGUGGAGAAAGGGGCCUGACAGCCCACAGCCAGGUCCCACCGCAGAGACCAGGUGUAAAACCAAGACCCGGCCACUGAGGAGGGAAGGACAGUCCUACCAGGAGACCGAGGACGGAGUGAGCACCUGAGAGCCGGGCUGUGCGUGAAUGAACCAGGAGUCCAGGAGUGGCUGACCACCCCCGCCCCACCCCGCCCCCCGCCGGCAGCG